AUGCCAUGGUUCAGCAGCUGUGCGGACACAUACACCGUCAGAGUCAAUAUAUGUCAAGAAUCAGAUAAUCAUGUCAAGAAUCGUACUUAUGCCUGCUUUCUAGAAAACAUGCACACAUAUAUCAAGAAUUGUAUAGUGGUAUGUGAGUGGCAGUGGCACCUCGAAGAAUCCCCAGUUCUCGCAGGCGUCGCGGAUGACCUCCAUGGCCGCGCCCCUCUCCCCGGUCUCAAGCUUCUCCAUGUUGAUCACCGGGAAGUUCAACGAGACAGCAGCAUCAGCAGGAAUUGCCAUCGCUCUCGAUCUAAUGUCUCUCUUACACACACACUCUCGAUAUCUGUAUGUGUGUGCGCUGGACUGCUAAUGUUAGCUGAAGCAGAGAGUGUGUUGAGUGCGCUCUGA
rnacentral:rRNA from 1 species